CAGGGCUCUGUAAAUUCGCCAUCAGUCGGAAUGUGUCUUCUUCCGAUCGUCGGAGUAGCGGUGAAUUUUCCUUCUGGAAAGAGGAGGCGGUUAAUUCAUGUUAGGGAAGAUGAGGCGACCUCAUUGUCCACGUUUGGAAGGUACAACUAGAAGAAACUUCCGGCAGAAGGGGAAUAUAUAUGCUGCAGUGAUAUUCCGGGAUUGAUGAAGGAACUGCCAAUCGCUGUCUACUUGUCAACCGUUAAAGG